rnacentral:rRNA from 1 species
CCUACGGGAGGCAGCAGUAGGGAAUCUUCCACAAUGGGCGAAAGCCUGAUGGAGCAACGCCGCGUGGGUGAAGAAGGUCUUCGGAUCGUAAAACCCUGUUGUUAGAGAAGAAAGUGCGUGAGAGUAACUGUUCACGUUUCGACGGUAUCUAACCAGAAAGCCACGGCUAACUACGUGCCAGCAGCUGCGGUAAUACGUAGGUGGCAAGCGUUAUCCGGAUUUAUUGGGUGUAAAGGGAACGCAGGCGGUCUUUUAAGUCUGAUGUGAAAGCCUUCGGCUUAACCGGAGUAGUGCAUUGGAAACUGGGAGACUUGAGUGCAGAAGAGGAGAGUGGAACUCCAUGUGUAGCGGUGAAAUGCGUAGAUAUAUGGAAGAACACCAGUGGCGAAAGCAGCUCUCUAGUCUGUAACUGACGCUGAGGUUCGAAAGCGUGGGUAGCAAACAGGAUUAGAUACCCCUGUAGUC